CUUGGAAGGAGACGGCAAGACCAGAUUGGCUGGAGCUGGGAAGUUGUGCGCUACAGAUCAGGGCUGCGUGACCCAGGGAAGGCAUCACUCGAAAUACCUGCUGGAGGGCGGCCAAUCCGACCCGACCGUCCACCUCCAGGGUCAGCCACGGGGCUCCUCUUGAUGUGUCAUCCUGAUCACCCCUCACAGAGCAAAUGAGCCUUUGACUUCAGCCUGUCCUAGGUGCAACACCGACUCCCACCUCCCACGUCCUGAACCAGCCUGUCCCGGGGAUUGCUGUGGACAUAGAGGAGCAGGCCAGAGACAUCUAGUGGCAUUUCCUGGCAAGGACACUCACCAUGCUUGACUAUAAAACUCGGGUCAACUGGUUUUUCGGAGGGGCUGUAAUUUACUUGUGGCACGCAUGGAUACUGAUUGACCCAGGGAGGGGCACGGAGGAGGCUGAAGGAAAACCCAUCGUGACUGCGCCAGGCAUUCCCGCACACACCGACAUCUUCAGACUUGGGCGGCGUCCUAGUGUUACAAUCAAACGGAAGCCCAGAGAAACGAGGGAGCUUGUCCAAGACCAGCAAGAAGUAUGUGAGCAGCUGGCAUUCAACUAAGUCCUUCCCUGGAUCCAUCCGCGCUUCUCCCCGCCCCCACUCCCACCACCCUGCCAUGGUGCCCGAUAGACACAGCAGGUCUGAACAUCUGGCACCCCAAAAGCAGAGUAGGGAGCAGAGCCGGUUUCUCCAGUGAGAACUCACAUGCAGCCCACUCCCCUUCUUGCCGAAUGCCUUCGGACUCUGUGCGGUAAGGUCUGCAGAUGUGGCCUCACUCUGCGCCAGGAGAUCCGGGUGGCAGGCAGCGUUUUGGAGAGUGCACCUCCAGACAGGAGAGAGGCAUCUGACAGGGCUCGCCAGCUAAUCCAUGAGAUACAGGACACCUGAGAGAAGGGCCGACAAACCCCACAAAGUCGCUCCUAGCCUGGAGACGACAGGGCCAUGGCGGGCUCCUCCCAGCCCACGCUUCCCACAGGUCUUGCUGCAGCCUGUGGUGCUUGUCAGGCGCGAGGAAGUUUCCCAGGGCAGGAGCUCUCGUUGCACAGCAAAAGCGGCACAGGCGAUGCAGCAGGGCGUACUUCAGCCCAGGGCUCAGGAACCACGGGGUGCAGCGCGGCCUGCAGCAAACCAGACACAUCAGAAGCCAAGCUCCCACCUUUUACAUUCAGUGACAUUAAACGGAGGGAGUUAUCUGUAGCAAUGGUCCUCCUGGGGGACCCGUACAGCACGCAUGACCACCGACACUGACCACGAGUCCUUCCUAGGUCCUGGGGGCUACCCCACUUUACACGCACGGUUCCAUGCACAAAUCUAUGCAGGGCAGUUGUUAGCCCCAGCUUAGAGAUGAGGAAAACGCUGCUGGAAAAGUUAAGUGAGAAAAUCAGACUUCAGCACACCUCAAGUCUCCAAUACCACUACUACUCUAUGUGCUAGGGUCUCAAGGGUUGGGUGUGUGGCAUUUUAAGUGACUAAUCAUAGGUGGUUUUCUUCUCUCCUACACUUGUUUAGCCUGAACGUGCACGUACAUGCUCUGCUGCAGGUGCACUGCCGUAUGUGGACCAGCAACGCUCCUUCCUGCCUCGGGUUCUCGUCACUGCCUUCCGGAAAGCUCUCGCCUGCUUUACAGCCAAGCCAGCAGCUGCUGCCUGGCUGGCCGACUGCAGAACAAGAGCCUCUGGUACUCCCGGGACGCCCUUGUAAAAGCGUGACCACCACGAUCACGUCUCAGGACGCGGCACAUGUUAGGGUCGCCCACAGACCACCAUUCCCACUGCCUAGAAGGCACUGAACGGGCCUCCUGCUCUUUGUCAAUGUCAACCUUCCUAAGCUAUGUUGUGUUGAAAAUUUUUAACUGCAGUCCACACAUA